rnacentral:rRNA from 1 species
UACGGGGGGGGCAAGCGUUGUUCGGAAUUACUGGGCGUAAAGGGCUUGUAGGUGGCCAACUAAGUCAGACGUGAAAUCCCUCGGCUUAACCGGGGAACUGCGUCUGAUACUGGAUGGCUUGAGUGUGGGAGAGGGAUGCGGAAUUCCAGGUGUAGCGGUGAAAUGCGUAGAUAUCUGGAGGAACACCGGUGGCGAAGGCGGCAUCCUGGACCAUUACUGACGCUGAGGAGCGAAAGCCAGGGGAGCAAACGGG